UCUCCUCUCCUCUCCUCUCCUCUCCUCUCCUCAUGCCUGUUUGUAGAACACUGGUUGGUGUGCAUCCCCACAGGCCAGGUCUCGGGAUCCAUGGAGAAGUAGGAGCGGAAGAAAAUCAUGCAGGGCUGUGGGCGCUAAAGUCGAGCUGUGACUGUUGGUGUUAACUCGGUCUCUGUCCAUCGAGUGGGGCCGAGCUGUGCUUCCAGAGGAAUUUUCCAGGAGCUCCAGCCCAAGGAGAAAGUGGCAGAAGUGGACAUGAAUAGACCGGAUAUCCUUGUGAGCAGACUUGAACUGUCCUCAGCUUUCUGACUCCCGCAUAACUGGCUUACCAAGGGAAAAGAAAUCAAACGUCAGAGGUUACUCCCCUCGUCGGUUGGAAAGCGAGCGAGAGCAGCGAGCCCACGAGCAUUGUUGAUGCAAGUCAGGAGCCGACCAUUUAGCAGUGGAGCAGUCGCUACUGUCAGUGAGAUAAGUGUCUGGUUUGGUGAGGGCUCCAGGUAGGGACGCCCCGUUAGCUGGGGUUGGGUUUGUAAGAAAUGGUUCCUGACCAGCUGUGCUUAUGAGAGAGACAAGGUCCCCAUUUUCAGGGUCUGCUCAUUUCUCUGGCCAGGAGCGGUGUCUCCUACGCAGCGGAAGGUUGCAUCUAGGAGGAUGACUCCAGGUGGUGAGUUGCUUGCCUUCCUCCCAUUUUUUCUCUCUCUCUCUCUCUCUCCUCCAGUGUGUUGGCCAACUUUCUCACUCUCCUCUCCUUUCCUCUCACCAUCUCCCUUCGUAGGACACGGGCAGGCGUGCUAUGUGUGCAUCCCCACAGGCUAUGUCUCGGGAGCCAUGGAGAAGUAGGAGGGGAUGAAAAUCAUGCAGGGCUGUGACUGUCUAUGUUAACUCGGUCUCUGUUCAUCAAGUGGGGCCGACGUAGAUGGCAUUGGAGAGGGAGGCCAGGAUGAGGGCAAGCUUUGAAGCACCAAUAGAGCUUUGUGUAGUGAUGGCUCAUGCUUGGCUUUUGCAGCUGCGCUUCCAGAGGAAUUUUCCAGGACCCCCAGCCCGAGGAGGAAGUUGCAGAAGUGGACAUGAGCAGACUGGACAUCCUUGUAAGCAGACAUGAACUGUCCUCAGCUUUCUGAUUCCCGCAAAACUGGCUGUGAGUAAGCGGUCAGUGCUUUGAAUUCCUCAUCUGUGCUUGCUGUAAUAUUGUUCACAGGCCGUGUGCUUCCUCGUUGGGUACGGGACUCCGUGAGAUUACGGCUGGGGAGAGGCCAGAGUCUGCUGCGCAGAGUGAUUAUUUUGGGUGCUGUUGCAAGGGGUGCUUUUUGGUUGUAAUGCUAAAGGUGGAACGGAGAGGGUUGAGGGCGGAGGACUGACCUGUCACCAUUUGCUACACCCACAAUUUCCCAUUCCUG